rnacentral:rRNA from 1 species
CUGUGAGCUCGAUGAGUAGGGCGGGACACGUGGUAUCCUGUCUGAAUAUGGGGGGACCAUCCUCCAAGGCUAAAUACUCCUGACUGACCGAUAGUGAACCAGUACCGUGAGGGAAAGGCGAAAAGAACCCCGGCGAGGGGAGUGAAAAAGAACCUGAAACCGUGUACGUACAAGCAGUGGGAGCACGCUUAGGCGUGUGACUGCGUACCUUUUGUAUAAUGGGUCAGCGACUUAUAUUCUGUAGCAAGGUUAACCGAAUAGGGGAGCCGAAGGGAAACCGAGUCUUAACUGGGCGUUAAGUUGCAGGGUAUAGACCCGAAACCCGGUGAUCUAGCCAUGGGCAGGUUGAAGGUUGGGUAACACUAACUGGAGGACCGAACCGACUAAUGUUGAAAAAUUAGCGGAUGACUUGUGGCUGGGGGUGAAAGGCCAAUCAAACCGGGAGAUAGCUGGUUCUCCCCGAAAGCUAUUUAGGUAGCGCCUCGUGAAUUCAUCUCCGGGGGUAGAGCACUGUUUCGGCAAGGGGGUCAUCCCGACUUACCAACCCGAUGCAAACUGCGAAUACCGGAGAAUGUUAUCACGGGAGACACACGGCGGGUGCUAACGUCCGUCGUGAAGAGGGAAACAACCCAGACCGCCAGCUAAGGUCCCAAAGUCAUGGUUAAGUGGGAAACGAUGUGGGAAGGCCCAGACAGCCAGGAUGUUGGCUUAGAAGCAGCCAUCAUUUAAAGAAAGCGUAAUAGCUCACUGGUCGAGUCGGCCUGCGCGGAAGAUGUAACGGGGCUAAAC